rnacentral:lncRNA from 1 species
AGAGGCACAGGCACAGCACACGGACACAACAUUGACUCUGGGGAGUUUCUUUCAGGGACAUCGAGCGAGGCAGGUGUUCCACCCCACUUUCUUGUUUGAGGGGAGAAGGAAACCAAAGCCAGUAGAAAUGGAAUUUAUGGCCUCCGUGCUCUCAGAGGGAUAUGAAGUGGCCUUGUUGAUGGAUUGGAUGACUGCUCGAGGCAGGAGGUCUGGCUUUCCCUCCAUGAACUAGGAGCGGCCUCAGGAAUCACAUGAACAUGUUAGAUGUGCACUUUUCGAGGCCAUGGCUGGAUCUUAGAUUCAUUCUGUGACUUUACCUGAGGCUCAGUCCUGACAGCCAAUGGACUCCAUCAAUGAUUGAUUAAAGCAUAAUGUUCCAUGACUAUCAAGACAGCAGCUCGAGAGCAUCUGUAGCAAAUGAAAACAACUGUUUUUGGCAGAAAUUGUCCUGUAUCCAAAUGGACAAAGCUGAAUAACUGUAUGUGGAUGAUUAUAUCAGUUCUGCUGUGUGGAGCCAGGAGCCACCGAAUUGUGGAGGUUCAUGUGGAUGGAAUGCGCACCUGACGUACUAACUUGAUCCUGACAUUCCAAUAUAAUCCCCUAUUCUCUAAAGGGAAAAACUAGUGUAUUUGUUAGAGACGUAAUGGAACUGUAGAGAGUACAUUCAAUCAGCUACGUAAACUGUGAAACAAAUGUCAGGUUUUCCUGGGUUCUGCCAUUGUGGUCUGUAAAAGAAGAAGUCUGAAUGGCAGGGACUGCAAUGGAAAGGAUGCACACGUAUUAGACAAAAAACUCUUAGGAGGGGAAAACUAUGAAAUGGUUCUUAGUACUGGUAGGUGGGGAUUUGGAACAGGGCCAUGUGUGUUCAUGCGUGUCCAUAUGUGUCUAUUUCAAAGAUGGCACGAUGGAAUAUAAAAUAAGGAUUGUGUGUGUCUUGUCAUGGAGACAACCACUGUGGAGAGACAAGCAGAACCAUCCAGUGGGUGACCCUGGGUUCCUGGGGAUGAGCGGGUUGGGUCCACUGUCUUCCUGUCCCCCAGCACGGGGUGCUGCAUGGCAGUUCAACCUACCACAGGGUCCCCUGCUGCAAUGGCCCUGGGCAGCUAGUGUUUCCAGCUGAGAUACAACUUCUCUGAGCAGUUGCUGUUCCAGCUUAGACUGUUUCUGCCCCACUUUCAGGGUUGAUGUCAUGAGCCCAAUGCAAGGGGGCGCUGCAGAGGGGAGCACGACAUUGACUAUUACCAUCAUCUCCUAACUGGCUUGCCGGCUGUGUAUUUAAAGAUGUUUUUGUGUGUGCGUUGAAGACAGACUGGAAGGCAACCACCUAUCUAGGGAUUUAUACACAGGAUAAGUGUGCUAAUAAUUGUGUGCCACUGCUAUUUGAU